rnacentral:rRNA from 1 species
UAGGGAAUCUUCGGCAAUGGACGAAAGUCUGACCGAGCAACGCCGCGUGAGUGAAGAUGGUUUUCGGCUCGUAAAACUCUGUUGUUAGAGAAGAACAAGGACGUUAGUAACUGAACGUCCCCUGACGGUAUCUAACCAGAAAGCCACGGCUAACUACGUGCCAGCAGCCGCGGUAAUACGUAGGUGGCAAGCGAUGUCCGGAUUUAUUGGGCGUAAAGCGUGCGCAUGCGGUUUCUUAAGUCUGAUGUGAAAGCCCCCGGCUCAACCGGGGAGGGGCAAUGGAAACUGAGAGACUUGAGGGCAGAAGAGGAGAGUGGAAUUCCAUGUGUAGCGGUGAAAUGCGUAGAUUUAUGGAGGAACACCAGUUGCGAGGGCGGCUCUCUGGUCUGUAACUGACGCUGAGGCUCGAAAGCGUGGGGAGCAAACAGG